UACGUAGGUGGCAAGCGUUGUCCGGAAUUAUUGGGCGUAAAGCGCACGUAGGUGGCUUCUUAAGUCGGGGGUGAAAUCCUGGAGCUCAACUCCAGAACUGCCUUCGAUACUGGGAAGCUCGAGUUCGGGAGAGGUGAGUGGAACUGCGAGUGUAGAGGUGAAAUUCGUAGAUAUUCGCAAGAACACCAGUGGCGAAGGCGGCUCACUGGCCCGGUACUGACGCUGAGGUGCGAAAGCGUGGGGAGCAAACAGG
rnacentral:rRNA from 1 species